UGCAAAUGGAAUGCCACUCCAUUUCACAAAAGGACUAGUUUCAUGAAAUCCAAGUUGUAUGCCAAGUGAAAGCACACAAAAAAAAAUCAAAAUUGUUGCUAUAAUGCCUCCAGCUGCAACACAAAAAUAGUUUGUUUUGAUGUUACUCACAAUAUGUGCUUUUAUGGAAAAACUUAUAUAAACCUAAUCUAUCAUGAACUUAUAAUAUUUUCAUGAUUAAGGUAUAGGAGGGUUUAAUGAGUUAACUUAGGUGGGCUAUAAUAUUAAUUAGUAGGGGUAGUAUUCUAUUAUUUGUACAAGUAGGAAGUGUUAGUAAAAAUAAGAGGAAGGUACUUGUAAUUGGGCAUUCCAAAAAUCAAUAACAAAUGCAACAUUCUUUUUCCUCUCUUUUUCUAUAAUUCUCUCUAAAUCUUCUCGCCUUUCUGUUCUUUUCCCAAUUCAAUCUAUUUGUAUCUCUUCCUUUCCUCAUUUCUCUAUUUCAAAAGGCUAUAUAGGUUUGUUAAGUAACGAAUUGGUAUUAGAGCUUUAUUCUAGAGUGGGCUUACUUCCAAAUUAGUUAUGGAAGUUGCAACAAUGGGAGAUCAGUGGUAGUCUUUCAAAUUCCAGGUUUCUCUCUUCUU
rnacentral:misc_RNA from 1 species